AAUCAUGAAUCAGUCAGUGCACUAAUGUGACUGGGCUCAGCAAUUAAGUUCUCAGGAUCCAAACACUUGCCCUAAGUCUGUCAGCUGUUACCGUAUGAGCCUCUGGGGGACUUUUUCGAUUCAAGUCAUAACAUGAUCAAAGUUCUUAAUGUUGAUAACUCACUUGAUCUUCAUAAUAAUUAUUUUAAAAAUAGUAUUAUUAUGCUAAUUUUAGGUGUCAGAGCUAAGCUGAGGGACAAGAGCCGUUAAUUAACUCCCUCCCAUAAGGUGUCAAGGCUUGUAAAUGGCUAAGCUAUUGCAACCUACAAACAUACAAAUACUCAGUAGGAAAACCCAGCUCCAAGGCAAGUUGUGCAGUCUUUUCCAACUAGCCUGCAAGCCCUUCUAUUCCCUCUCUUAACCACCAGUGGUCCGGCAUUACAUGGGCAGGAGUGGUCAAGCCUCCCUGGGACUCGUCUGGCUCUGAAGCAGAGAUCUUCAUCCCUCUGUCCAUUUUUAGGUGCUUAACUCAAGUUCAAAGGUCAAGUCACAGACUGGUUGCAAGUAACCUUAGACAUCACCUGACCUGGGGUUUCUCAAUCUCUGAACUAUUGGCAUUCUGGUUUGGACAAGUCUCUCUUGCAGGGAUUGUUCUCUGCACUGUAGAGUUCUGAAUAACAUUCAAAGCUUCUAUUCAGUAAAUGCCAGUAUAGUCUCCAUUUGUGAAGAACAAAAUUUACCAUAUGACAAAUACGGAAGUGGGAGAUGCUGAAAGGGUCUGAAACUUUUUCUUGGCUGGGAACCACUGAUCCAAAGGAUUAUUUCAGAUACUGCAGUUGGGAUCCAAAGAGAAAAACUCACUUGUUUAAAGUAGCAAGCAAGGGUAAGGCUAGAAGCUAGGUUAUUGCACAAUAUCCCUUUCCAUGUCACAGUAUGGAACCCUGAGAGGCAGAAGCAGUUUCUAUUUACAAUCAGGUGGAGAAAACCUACCGGACAGACCUAACUGCACAAAGCUGAUAAGCUAGGAAGGGCUAUUCAGGCAGCAAGGAGUAAAACCAAGAGAUUGCCAUCUUGACUGGCCACAUAUUUCUGCUUCAGGACUUGAACAAAUUCAGGUCCAUCCAUUGGAUUAAAACCAUGUUUUCUACUGUCAGGCUCAAAAUGGUUCCGUAAAUGCCCUAUGUAAACGUAAAGCUCUUAAAAAAACACCAGGCGUUAUUUAUUACUAUUAUUAGAGACAGUUUUUCUGUGUAGGGCUAUCCUGGAACUCACUAUGCAGAUAGACCAGGUUGGCUUCGAACUCAGAGAUACUCCUGUCUUUGCUUCCUACUUCCUAGGACUAAAGGUGUGCACCACCGCCAUGCCUGGCAACAUCAGAAAUAUUGACAUCAUUAGAGAUGCAAUUAUUCGCUUCAUAGCACCAUUUCUCAGAAAAGUUUAUAUGGGAGCCAUCACUCCUGGACUUCCCAGGUCUUGGGCUGGAGAGGAAGGAGGCAAAGGGACCUUCCUCUCGCAGAGCGCCCCUCUGCUUCCCUAAAUCCCAGGAAGCCAGAUGAGAGAGAUCAGGUCAUCACUUCUCACUAGUGCAACUAGUCCAAGUUGCUCCCCCGAACUCCUGCCCUUCAAGCUCCGCCCCCCGGCCACCGCCUUAAAAGAGGCGGCCCCUUCUCUCUCCAUGCUUCCCAGAGCAUCCCCGAGCUUCCCGAGCUUUUCCGAGUCCUUCCCGGCCUCCCGCGGGCGGCCCGCGCGGAGGCGACGGAGAUUGCCGAGGGGCGUAGCCACGCCCCCUCACUACAGCCUCCUCUCGCGCGGGCGGCCCGAGUCCCACACAUCCAGGUUCCUCCCUCCUUCUCUCCUUUCUCUCUCCCCGCCUUCCCGGCGCUGCCACAGUGGCGGGACGGAGGAUCCCGACCAGUCAGCUCGCUGCGGCCUCGCGCUCCUCCUCCUCCCAAAUAAACAGCCCUCCCCAAGCUGGGAGCCCAGGCCGUCCCCUUCCCCGCACGGCUGGCGAGUGGUGAGGGAGCGCGGGACUGAAGGACCAAGGGACCGAGGGAUCGGCGCACGCGCGUGCGAGUGAGAGAGCGAGCGAGCGGCCGGCGCGAAGCCGGAGCAGAAGCCGGAGCCGGGGCCGAAGCCGAAGCCGGAGCCAUAACCUGAGUCGGAGCGGUAGUGAAGCCGAAGCCGAAGCCGGGCUCCGGACCGACGCGCACGCACACACGCACGCGGGGGGCGGGGCCGGCGCGCGCCCGCCUGUCGCGACUGUCGGCACCGAGGCCCAGGGGGAGGUGGCCUGUCGCGGGUCGCCCGGCUCCCGGUGGCGAAGGGGGCGCGGGCGGAUGGCGGAAGGCGGCCAGGCGCAGCAGCAGCCGCCUCAGCUCGGGCCCGGCGCUGCCGCCCGGGGCAUGAAGCGGGAGUCGGAGGUGGAGUUGCCGGUGCCCGGAGCGGGGGCAGACGGACCCGAGCCCGGCCUGAGCAAGCGGCCACGCACAGAGGAGGCGGCCGACGGCGGGAUGCAGAACGAGCCACUGACCCCGGGUUAUCAUGGAUUCCCAGCAAGGGAUGGCCAGGGUAACCAGGAGCCAACAACAACUCCUGACGCAAUGGUUCAGCCUUUUACUACCAUCCCGUUCCCACCACCUCCACAAAAUGGAAUUCCCACAGAAUAUGGAGUGCCACACACUCAGGACUAUGCCGGCCAGACCAGUGAACAUAACCUGACCCUCUACGGGAGUACGCAGCCUCAUGGAGAACAGAGUAGCAAUUCACCCAGCAACCAGAAUGGAUCUCUCACGCAGACAGAAGGUGGAGCACAGACAGACGGACAACAGUCACAGACACAAAGUAGUGAAAAUUCAGAGAGUAAAUCUACGCCCAAGCGACUACAUGUCUCUAAUAUUCCCUUCCGCUUCCGAGACCCUGACCUCCGGCAGAUGUUUGGGCAGUUUGGCAAAAUCCUAGAUGUGGAAAUAAUCUUUAAUGAGCGCGGCUCCAAGGGAUUCGGGUUCGUAACUUUCGAGAAUAGUGCUGAUGCAGACAGGGCCAGGGAGAAAUUGCACGGCACCGUGGUAGAGGGCCGUAAAAUCGAGGUGAAUAAUGCAACAGCACGGGUCAUGACCAACAAGAAGAUGGUCACGCCAUAUGCAAAUGGCUGGAAGUUAAGCCCAGUAGUUGGAGCUGUGUAUGGUCCUGAGUUAUAUGCAGCAUCCAGCUUUCAAGCUGAUGUGUCCCUAGGCAAUGAGGCGGCUGUGCCCUUGUCAGGAAGAGGAGGCAUCAACACUUACAUCCCUCUAAUCAGUCUCCCUUUAGUUCCUGGCUUCCCUUACCCAACUGCAGCCACCACGGCAGCUGCUUUCCGAGGAGCCCAUCUGAGGGGCAGAGGGCGGACAGUGUAUGGUGCAGUCCGAGCGGUACCUCCAACAGCCAUCCCCGCCUAUCCAGGACCAAUGGACAUACCAUUAGGAGUCCUCCAUGCUACAGAAUUAAAGCAUUUUUAUUAGACAAGUGUGGUUUACCAGGACGGAUUUUACGGUGCUGACCUCUAUGGUGGAUAUGCAGCCUACAGAUAUGCACAGCCUGCUACUGCAACCGCAGCCACAGCUGCUGCAGCCGCUGCAGCCGCUUACAGCGACGGUUACGGCAGGGUGUACACAGCUGACCCCUACCAUGCCCUCGCCCCUGCCGCCAGCUAUGGAGUUGGCGCUGUGGCGAGUUUGUACCGAGGUGGCUACAGCCGAUUUGCCCCCUACUGAAGUGACGUGAGACCCCUGCAAAUGGGACAGCCCCCAGUUCAUGAGGCCUGGCUAUUGCAAUAUUUACUAGUAGAGGACUCUAUAGCAAGAUGAAGAGGAAAACAAACAAAAAAGAGAGAAUACUUUUUUAUACCUCACUAUGUUCUUUGAAUAUGUAUUUUUUCCUUUAAAUUUCUGCCUUUAAUUCUUUUGUUCCAAAGAUUGUGCUUUUUUUGUUUUGUUUUGUUUUUUUUGAAUUUUUGUUUUUGUUUGGAGGGGGGUUGGUUUUUUGGGGGUUUUUUGUUUUGUUUUUUGUUUGGGAAUUUUUUUGUUGUUUUUAUUUUUGCUUUUUUUAAAACUGUGGUUAAAAAAAAAAAAAGAUAGUGCAUUUCCACGUCUGUAUGUCCACACUUAGCUUAUUCUGUUGGUCACAGAGGAGACAGUCGAGGAGGAAGGAGCUGAUACAUGUAUUUGAUCAGAAGCCAGCAGACAGAAUUACCAAAGUGGAUCUGGUGCUGAUGGCUGGGGGGAUAAGCAGAGUGGAGGCCAGCUCUGCAGCAGUGUGCCCUCCUGGCCUGGCUGUGGCUGGAGGCUCUGACUGGCUGUGGCUGGAAUCCACAUGCCUUUAGGUAGGAGUUUGUGCUUGCAAAACAGGAGAAUUUAAAAGAUUCUUUUCUCUCCUCUUCCCUCCUGCCUUCAUAUUCUUUUUACAAUCAUUUACAGGCACAGCCUGAGAGUGUUUGGCAUGGUUUUUGGAGUUACAGUGCUGGUAUUUCCAAGCACGCUCUCAGACUGUGGAUGAGAAACACCUCAGUACAACAGUGAUCUUGGAGUGAGCUCCAGAAUAGGAAAACACUUGUUUCUUUUCUUUUCAGAAACCUCAGCAUUCCUGCUGGGCUGCUGCCCCUUUAAUUGAGCCACUGUGCAACUCCUCUGUUCUUUUAUUAACAUGCUGCUCCCAUGUCCUCAAGAUUCAGGGAUUUGGGAUCCAGGAACCGAAGAAUGAAUAGUCAGUGGCCAGAUUUCCCCCCAGGUAUCUGGGCACAGUAUGAGGAUUAAAAGUACAAAUUGUUCAGAGCCAUUAAAGAGUGUGUAGAAGAGAAAAGGGGGGUGUUCAAUCGAUAUCCCUUCGUUUUCUUGCAGCACGAAGUCAGUACAGAGUAAGAAAGGCAUCAGAAAGCCUCUGCUGGGGCAGGGUAAGGAACCAAGCCCCUAGGCUGGCUGUCCUACCAGUGUACUGAUGAGGACCAGUAAGGGCAGGCAGAGGCAGUUUGUCCUCACUCCAAAGCCAUAGGAAUUUCCAUCUUCCAGAGCCUCUGUGAGUCUCCAGCCCUUGUGGUCACUGCAUCCAGCUUCACAGUGUCCUCUAGAGUCACAGCCAAGCACCUGGACCCCUCGGGGAACGUUAAGAAGACAGGCCGUGGACUUUAAGCCUUUUAACCUUGGAAGGAGGAUGUAAAAUGGCAAGGGUCCUUCUGCAGGGGCCAUGGCAGUGAAACCUGGCUUCAGAUUUGUUUCCAAAGGACUUCUUUCUCCCCCAAAUCUGAGAUGUAUCCGAAAGGCAAGGGUCCCACAGAGGCUCCAAAAUGAAGGCAUUAGGAAAUGGGAAUGUCAGCUGGCUCCCUGGUCAGUUCACCUGAGGGAUUGCUGCUAAAGGGAGUAGUUCAGAGACAUGAGCUUUGGUUUUGUCAGGGUCUGUUUUAGGGUUAUUUUAUUGGGGUUUGGUUCUUCUGUUGUUGUUGUCGUUGUUGUUGUUGUUGUUGUUGUUGUUGCCUCUGCCUCUACACAUUUUUGACUGAUAAAUGAUUCAUGUCCCUGAAUUAAAGUGGCUGACCUUUGACUGCAUCAAGCAUCCUUUUGUAAGCAGGGAGGGCCUUAACCUGCAAUUGACACAUACCAUCUUGCCCUCAGAUCCUAUCUCCCAUGAUACCUGAGGAAACAACAUGGAAGCCAGAGACCUCAGUGUAGUCACUAGUUCUGGGGCAACAUGUGGAAUAGGAGACAAGACUGCCUGCCUGCUGGCCACUUAUGGAUUCCCUUCCCCCAAGCCAAAGUUUGGUUUGUUGUUGCUAUUAGGACAGUUUUCAUUGUAUGUACAUAAAUAUUUUAGUAAGGGGAAGGGAUGGGCUGGGGCCUUUUGGAGUUCUAGAGAAUGGGGGCAGAGGGGUUUUUCUUUCUCUUGUUUCUUUUUGAGAAAAUUUACUGGCUAAAGGAACAGACAUUUUGGGUCUUUGUUUAAUAAGGGCCAUUCUCACAGAAAGGCAAGCCCUUCACCUAGUGGAGACGAGGCCAGUCUCUCAACAGUUGUAUCCACAGAUGGUAGGAAGGGAGAGAGAGUUGAAGAAGGCUUCUUCUUUCCUAGACAGGAAAGGGUGGCCACGCAGGGUGAAGAGGACAGUCCCAUGGCCCAUGCUGCAGGGCCUGAGGGGCCUUCAUGCACUUCAGUUCAGCUGGUUCUGGCUGAGGCCUCCAAGGCCAGUCUGUUUGCCAGUGCAUCUCUGCUGCGUGGACAAGGACACUCUCCGAUGCCACUUCCUCAGGCCCUUUUCCAAGGAAGACUAGAUGGAGUUGGCUUUUUAUGCAAAGGUCGUUGGAUUUCAGGGUGAGCACUGAGAGCUGGCUCCCCCAAGUGUCUGGAUUUCACUAUGUUGGCCUCAUGGUUGAUCCUCAAGGCCACUGUGCUGGCUUGUUGGACUGAUUUAGGAAGCAGGCUAGAGGAGACGGGCAUUUUAUGACUCUGUUAGAGGAUUCUGGGUGAUGAUUUCAAAAAGAUGGCUGACGCUGAAUCGCAGUGUGAGAAGGGUGUUUGCAGUUUUGCAGGCCUCUGUGGCCUGGGCUUUCUAUGCUGCGAAUAUUACUAGAAGCUGGAUUCCUUUAAGGAGACUUGUAGUGAAAAUGUUUGUCUGGAUGUUCCUCUUUCAGCCCGGAGAGCUGCCUUAGGUCUUUUCUAGAAUUUCUGUGUUACUUAGUUCAACCUCAGCCCAGAAGCACCAUGCUCCUUGUCAUUUUAAGGCUCUCAGGUUUCCAGGAACCUCCACCACCGCCACCCUGCAGCAGCCGCUGUCUGAACUGAGCCGUGUUUCCUUCCCUUGGAAACUGCCUGGCGCUUGGCUCUUAGUUUAAGGAGAGCUUGUGGCUUUUCCUCAAGCAUGGACUCCUCGGGGCUGAACUGUUUGGUUUAGGCUGUGCUUUCUUUGAGGCACAGCGGGCAGGUCCGCGACCACCUCCGUCCUGUACCUAGUCAUGUAGCUUCCAGACACUGAGAUGAGAAGGAUGUGAGCCUAUGCAAGAAGAGCAUAGUGCGCCCCUCCCUGCGCCAGGCGAACAAGGCCAAUCAAGGGCAGUCUGGAACUCGGGUGUGCCAGGAAGGGGGGGAGGGGGCGGGAAGCUGCCUGGCCAACCUUCCCCUCUGGCCCAGCCAGUUCUCCACUACUCAAACCUCUAGCAUGGCAAUGUUUGCAAAAUUGCAGACUUUUCUCCCAGAUAUUAGGAGGAAAGGGACUUUGGGGGGUGGGGAAGGGGUCUUGGUGUUUAAAGCAUAAGUUACCUGUUUGCACUGUUUUCAAAUAGGAAACAAUAGUGGGCACGGUGAACAUCUAAUGUAAACGUGUGUUUUCUUUUGUCAUGCUCUUGAGAAUGUCUGAUCAUUUGUAGUAUACACCAGUGACACUUGAUUCUCUGUUUCAUAAAACACUAUAUUUUUGGAAAUGUUGCUGUCCGGAAGCCUCUUCCCACCCAUCCCCUCUCCUGUGUACCUCCUUUCUCCUUGCUUCCUCAUCAGCCAGGCAGUUGCCAUCCCUGGGCUAGAGCGGGAAACAGGGCCCCAUCCCAAGCAGGCUCUGGGUGUCCUAAGCCAGCAUGUGCCCUCUAGAUUACUGAGUGCAGGACAGUCCCUUGGCAACUUUCCUUUCGAAAGGCUCACCAACUACCACAGAUUGCCAAACUCUUCAGCGAGGCAAUAGAAGUGAGUCAGGGGGCGCGGGUCCCUGAAGUAUUGUGGUUGGCUGUGGAAGCCAUGUUCUUAUGCAAGUUACCGAAACUGUAGCCAGUUACAGUGUACUCAGGAAAAAACGGUAGAUGAGUUCAGCCAUGGCGGUGCUGGCUGGCAGGGAUUGGUAACUGAGAACUGCCCAUCAGCCAAAACUCACCCUUGCCUUUGCAGAGACCUCCCACCUCGGGGGCAGCCCUCUGUACUUGCCAGCGCUGGGUGGGGCUGCUUUCACCCUGGCAGGCAAAAAGGGAACAGCGAUGCUCUUUCCUUCCCUCCCUCUUCCGGUUACCAAUGCCAGAUUCCCAGGGGCACGCGAGUUUUUGAGUUUUUCAGAAAAUGCUUUUGGUUUGUCUUUUCCGGGGACUGACGCGCUUUAGUCGCUGUCUGUCCCCAUCAGGACUCCUAGCUUAGGUGGUUUCUUGUAUUUUCUGUUAACAGUAUUUCUUGUGUGCGUGCUUGUUGGGCAGCCCGUUUGGCUGCGUUAUAUAGCGAGUGAUGAGCUGAUCCUUUCCCCUAAGAGACAUGACUUCCCUCCGUCAGCAUUCAGCCUGUGAAUAGCUAGAGCCACCCUGGGGCGGACACGUGCAAGUUAGAGCUGCAGAGUGAACUGAGGCUCUCAGGUUUUGAGUCUCUCUCUUUUCAAGGCUCAAAAGUACCACAGAACCUCGCUCUUCUCCACACCCCUGUGGCAGGGAGUGGCCUGCCUGGCACAUGUGGCUUCCCCAUGCAGGACAGGCACCACUGGGACAUGGGGGGCACAUGCGGAUGCUUGUCCAGCUGACCACCCCGCUGUGUCUCCUUCCCUCCCACCAUCCUCUCCCAGAAUCACCUCCUAGGGCACCCGAGCUGCUUGCCCAGGGUCCUGUUUCCCUGCUAACUCCAGAGAAGCACCCAGGGCGUUGUGACAGUCUCUAACUCCCUCCCUCCCUCCCUCCCUCUUCCUCCUUAAGAAUCAUAUUGUAUAGUAGCUUUCAGACCAUACAGUAUUCAUUGGGUUACUCCUAUUAUCAAGUAGCUGGAAUUGUGAAGGUUGAGUAGUUAGAUCUUUAGCUUUUAUUCAUUAUUUUUUGUAUUACUCUCCAUGUGUAUAAAUUAUUGAUCAUGUUGCUGGCUUUUAUAAACUCUUAGCAAAGGAGGGGCCCUGCCUCAGCCUUUGCAAAUGGUAAUGAAGCACUGUUUUUAAAUAAAAGAGAGAAACACCA